rnacentral:rRNA from 1 species
AUCGAACGCUGGCGGCAGGCCUAACACAUGCAAGUCGCGCGAGCGGCGCACGGGUGCGUAAUGUAUGGGGACUGCCCGAUCGAGGGGGAUAACUACUGGAAACGGUGGCUAAUACCGCAUACUGUCGGAUAUCCCAUAUGGGAUUAGGUAGUAGGUAAGGUAAUGGCUUACAUAGGCGAAGAUCCCUAGCUGGUCGGAGAGGAUGAUCAGCCACACUGGAACUGAGACACGGCCCAGACUCCUACGGAGGCAGCAGUGGGGAAUCUUCCGCAAUGGACGAAAGUCUGACGGAGCAACGCCGCGUGAGUGAUGACGGCCUUCGGGUUGUAAAGCUCUGUGAAUCGGGAGACGGUACCGGAAUAGAAAGCCACGGCUAACUACGUGCCAGCAGCCGCGGUAAUAC